CGGGAGGCGGGAGGCGGGGGACCGAGCAGGGCCGCGGGGCCCUGGCAGUGGCGGCGGCGGCGUCGGCGGCGGCUCGGUGCAGCUCGGCGGUGACAGCGCCUCCGCCCCGCCUCCCCUCCCCGCCCCCCCGCGCGCGAGCUGCCGGCGGGACCCGCGCUGCUGACGGUCGGUACCAACCUAGCCAGCAGAGGCGGGGGCGCGAGGAGGCCGCGCGGAGGACCCCCCCGAGAUUGGUAUCACCUACCCCAUCCCAGCCUGUGAGCGCGCGCCCUCCCGGGCUGAGGCAGUCGGCUCCCGGCGCUGGACCCGGGGCUGCGGGCGGGGCCGGACGCGCCCGGCUCGGCGCCCCCGAGUCAAAGCCCCGGCCCCUACUCGCACCCCGAACCGCCCCGCCUCCAUCCUGGCUGCUCCUGGCGCCCAGCUUGGCAGCCUCUCUCAAAGGCAGGGACAAGCUCCUGAGUGGGAUCUCAGGGCCAUGGCAGUGAGGAGGCCUGUGCUCCACCAGCUCUGAAGAUACCAGCUACGUGAUGGGCUGAGGUCUUUAAUCAGUCUUGUCUCUAAGUCGAGAACAGGGUUGCACUAAGUGGCCCCUUGGGAUCCUAAGAGGCUGCGGCCUUGGGGUGCAGUUUGCAGGUGUCUGCAUUGCCCUCUAGCUCAUGGAAGCUUGAGCAGCUGGAGCGGGAAGGGCAGCAAGCUUCAUCUCACUAAUCAUGGAAUCCACAGCCAUGAUUUUGCUGAUGAGGGCAGAAAGGCCCAAGGAGGAGUCCACCAUCAUGCAGUGCACGUGCUCACCCACCAUUGCCCAGGCAGGGACACAAGAAACUCACAGUGAGAGCACCAGGCACCACCAAGAAGCCCUAGGAACACUGACCCUGUCUCUACAGUGGGCUCAUAACCCAGAUCAGCAAUGAGAGGAAGAAUCUUUGCCUUCACAUUAAAAUCAGUUGCCAGCCAACAGUGUCUUCAGGGUGAACACCUAUCGUCACCAUCCUUAUCACUGUCACCAUCACCGCCACCAACACCACUGUCGGUUCUAUUAUUUAUCAUCCAUGUGUAAUUUUACAUAAGUUCUGUGGAAGCUCAGACUGUGUUUUGUUCACCUAAGCAGCUCUUUCAUCUAUCGCAAUGCUUGGCACAUGCCUUGAUACCUAGCAAAUAUCUGAUCUUGUAAAUC
ensembl:lncRNA